GCGAAUGUCAAACCUGGUACAAAAGCAAAAGGAGGAAAUUGAGGAGUUCCAGAAAAUAUGGGAAAAGAAGAAGGAAGAGCUUGUGCAGGAUUACAGAUUGCAGGUUGCUGUUCUUCGGACUGUACGUGGUAACACUGCUGUAAUGAAGGAUAAAAAAAAAGAUGCAGAAACUGAAUUUUCAAGAAAAAUGCAAGAGCUCAAAUACAACAAGGACCAGAAACUUAACGAGCUUGAGGUAGAACACUCUGCUAUGAAGAACAAGGAAAGGCAAAAGGCUUCUUUGUGGUUGGCCGAAGCAAAUUCCUUUAGGGGUGUUGGAUCUCAUCCGAUAGAUGGGAUAGGGUGCUCUCAGGAAAAUGUAAAUGUCUCACUCAAUUCUCCCAAGACUGUUCACCCUGUAACUGGACAUCAUGUUAAGGAACUGAAUGCAGGUAAAAU
rnacentral:misc_RNA from 1 species